UUGUUUGGUACUUUUUACACUUUUGCUUUCCAACUGUUCUCAAGCUGAUGUAGAUGUAAAGCUGAUCUUCAGCAUAAAACAACAAAACAGAUCAAAGCUUGUUGAAGCUGUUGUAAAUAACCACACUGCAGAUUCUGGUGCUGAUAAUGGCAGAUUGAGUAACACAGUAAGAAACCAUUCUUCUUAAAAACCAAGUGUUGCCAACAGAAUCUGUCCUUAGGAGACGAGUCAAGAAGAAGAAAGCCCAGAGAGGGGAGACCGGCGUGAUUGGGGCCAUAUUUGCCUUCAAACUGCUGUCUUAGGAAGCAGCAGCUGAGAGUCAAGCCUUAAGCUUUUGCAAACUUGGAAGAUAAAAGAGGAAAUCAUCUUAAUUGAAGCAAGGAGAGAAGAAAGAUAGAACAUAAGCCAAAUGAGAAAGGAGUACUCAUUCCAUCUCGGGAAGCUGGCCUCAACGUUGGGUGAUGGCCUGCCUCUGCUUGCCCACCUGGGGCAGCAUAACACUGCCCGCAGCUCCUUCCCACCCGGCCUGCUCGCUAAUUAGUCCAACACUAAACCACCAAGAUGCCCACGUGUGCUGUGUCCCAGCCUAGAAAAGAGAUCCAGGCAAAACAGGGUCCCUUCAGAACACACAGUCAUGUGGCACUGAGACCCAGGAUUCUGUACCAUCUGGAAUGCUCCAUUCGUUCACCAAAGUUCUGAAUUCUCUACUCAUCCAACAGUACUUUGUGAAAGAGCGCUUGAAUUGAAGGUGAGGAAAUCAUGUGCAUGCUCUGCAACUUCUCUCUGGCUGUGGAGUUUAGGACGUGUAUCUUGUGUACCUGCAAAGCUUUCAUGACUGGUGCGGAGCAUGCUACUCUUCCCACAAGUUUCCCUUAGGUUAGGGAACACUGGAAAUGACAUCUCUCCCCACACUGUCCUGACACAAAGGUGCCCCAGACAGUGUCGGUAAAUUCCACUCACUCCUGGAAUUCAGGUCACUUGUAUUUACAUUCAUAAUUUCCACCACCCAUUUUUUCCCCCCAGUAGGCUCUCCUCACUUCUUUCUUUGAGCUUUGGCUGAAUAUCUCAUCAAAAUGCCACAUAAACACCUUCGGGUGGGACUCCGGGGCCCAUUGGUUUAGUUGUUGAGGUUGAGGUUCUGUCCACGUUAAGUCAGAAAUGGU